UACGUAGGGUCCGAGCGUUGUCCGGAAUUACUGGGCGUAAAGGGCGCGUAGGCGGCCUGCUAAGUCGAACGUGAAAUCCCUGGGCUCAACCCAGGAACUGCGUCCGAUACUGGUUGGCUUGAAUCCGGGAGAGGGAUGUGGAAUUCCAGGUGUAGCGGUGAAAUGCGUAGAUAUCUGGAGGAAUACCGGUGGCGAAGGCGGCAUCCUGGACCAUUACUGACGCUGAGGCGCGAAAGCUAGGGGAGCAAACGGG
rnacentral:rRNA from 1 species